UUCGGGUUGUCAUGCCAAUGGCACCGCCCGGUAGCUAAAUGCGGAAGAGAUAAGUGCUGAACGCAUCUAAGCACGAAACUUGCCCCGAGAUGAGUUCUCCCUGACUCCUUGAGAGUCCUGAAGGAACGUUGAAGACGACGACGUUGAUAGGCCGGGUGUGUAAGCGCAGCGAUGCGUUGAGCUAACCGGUACUAAUGAACCGUGAGGCUUAACCUU
rnacentral:rRNA from 1 species